rnacentral:tRNA from 3 species
AGAGCUAUAGGUUAAAAAAACCAGUGGCCUUCAAAGCCAAAAAUGAAUUACUCUAGCUUUG